GGGGGCGAUCGGCUUCGACGGGGGUUACGGGGCUUGGGUUGCGCGUCGGGGGGCUUGCCCACCUCGUCAAAACGGGUAAGAACCACAACUGCCAACGACAACGUUGAAGCGGAAGAGAUCUUCGCGGUUGCUGCCUUACAAAGCAGCCCGCGAGGCGACGUGAGCAAGUUGGUCGCGUCUUGACCACGUCGUAGUGAUCGUGACUGGCGAGGUGCUUCGUGUCCCGAGUACCUCGUGAGAACAAGGGGCACUAGCCGGAGGCGAGCCCGCCUGCAGGCGCAAAUCCGGUGACCUUCGUAUGCAGGCUACGCGCGUAGACGCUCAAGUAACGUGCUUCCGGACCCGGGUUCGAUUCCCGGCGCCUCCACCC
rnacentral:tmRNA from 1 species